CCGGGCGACCGGCGCACGGGUGAGUAACACGUAUGCAACCUGGCCGUGACAGAUGGAUAACCGGGAGAAAUCCCGCCUAAUACAACAUAAUGCCGGGAGGGGACAUCCCCUGCCGGUCAAAGGGGGCGACCCCGGUCAUGGAUGGGCAUGCGGCGCAUUAGGUAGUUGGUGGGGCAACGGCCCACCAAGCCGACGAUGCGUAGGGGUUCUGAGAGGAAGGUCCCCCACAUUGGAACUGAGACACGGUCCAAACUCCUACGGGAGGCAGCAG
rnacentral:rRNA from 1 species